UUUUAGUGCUUGGACAUAACUAUACCAAAAUAACUCUGAAAAAAUUAGAUAAUGUGAUAAAUCAUACAUUAAAGCCUAUAAUCGGACACCUUAAGAUUAUUGUACAAGAUUCUAAAAGAAAAAGAAAAGUGACAGAGUCUCUUAAAAUGCUUCAGCUGUAUCACAGUUUCAGAAAUUUGGUUCAUUAUGUUUUAACACAUUGUGGCUCUGAAAGAGAUAAAUACUGUAUGGAAGAUUAUUCUAGCUGGUUUGGAGAAGAUAUACUUCUUGAAUGGUUUCUUCUUUGUGAUAUUUAUACACAGCCUUAUAUUAGAAGAGCAGUGCUUGCUGACAAUGUAUGAUUGAAGUAUCUUUUUAAUGAAAACAUAUAGUUAGUUUGUUAGUUUGCAAAAUAAUAUAAUUAUUUGACUAAAUUUUGUAAAUCCCAUUUGAUUAUUCUUAGAUUAUUUUAUGUAAAAUAUUUGAAUUUGUUAUAAAUGCAAUCAUUAAAUUUGAAAAUCUAAGGCAGUGUUUCUCAAUCUGUAGUCCAUCGACAAAGGUGCCCCUUGAAUCUUGCCUUGUCGUUCUUCUAGAUUUCCAAAAAAGAUAAAAAAUAGAAUUUUAAUUAACUGUGUAUACCACGCAAUUCUCAGAGUUUGAAAUUC